rnacentral:rRNA from 1 species
AGUGAGCGCUGGCGGUAGGCCUAACACAUGCAAGUCGAACGGCAGCACAGUAAGAGCUUGCUCUUACGGGUGGCGAGUGGCGGACGGGUGAGGAAUACAUCGGAAUCUACUUUUUCGUGGGGGAUAACGUAGGGAAACUUACGCUAAUACCGCAUACGACCUACGGGUGAAAGCAGGGGAUCUUCGGACCUUGCGUGAUUGAAUGAGCCGAUGUCGGAUUAGCUAGUUGGCGGGGUAAAGGCCCACCAAGGCGACGAUCCGUAGCUGGUCUGAGAGGAUGAUCAGCCACACUGGAACUGAGACACGGUCCAGACUCCUACGGGAGGCAGCAGUGGGGAAUAUUGGACAAUGGGCGCAAGCCUGAUCCAGCCAUACCGCGUGGGUGAAGAAGGCCUUCGGGUUGUAAAGCCCUUUUGUUGGGAAAGAAAAGCAGCAGGUUAAUACCCCGCUGUUCUGACGGUACCCAAAGAAUAAGCACCGGCUAACUUCGUG